GUUCCGGUAGCUCAGUUGGUAGAGCAACUGUACGUGGUGAGCGAAGCGCCUAGCAAUAACCGCCAGGAGGUCGUAGGAUCGAAGCCUGACCGGAUUA